rnacentral:rRNA from 1 species
AAUGAACGCUGGCGGCAAGCUUAACACAUGCAAGUCGAACGAUAACGCACCUUCGGGUGUUAUUAAAGUGGCAAACGGGUGAGUAACAUGUGGGAACGUACCUCAAGGUUCGGGACAACCAUUGGAAACGAUGGCUAAUACCGGAUGUACACUAUGGUGAAAAGAUUUAUCGCCUUGAGAUCGGCCCGCACAAGAUUAGUUUGUUGGUGAGGUAAUGGCUCACCAAGACUACGAUCUUUAGCUGGUUUGAGAGGAUGACCAGCCACACUGGGACUGAGAUACGGCCCAG